rnacentral:rRNA from 1 species
CCUACGGGAGGCAGCAGUAGGGAAUAUUGCUCAAUGGGGGAAACCCUGAAGCAGCAACGCCGCGUGGGGGAUGAAGGUUUUCGGAUUGUAAACUCCUUUUGUUAGAGAAGAUAAUGACGGUAUCUAACGAAUAAGCACCGGCUAACUCCGUGCCAGCAGCCGCGGUAAUACGGAGGGUGCAAGCGUUACUCGGAAUCACUGGGCGUAAAGGGCGCGUAGGCGGGAUAGCAAGUCAGGUGUGAAAUCCUGUGGCGUAACCAUAGAACUGCAUUUGAAACUGCUAUUCUAGAGUAUAGGAGAGGUAGGUGGAAUUCUUGGUGUAGGGGUAAAAUGCGUAGAGAUCAAGAGGAAUACUCAUUGCGAAGGCGACCUGCUAGAACAUAACUGACGCUGAUGCGCGAAAGCGUGGGGAGCAAACAGGAUUAGAUACCCUUGUAGUC